AAAUGCGAGUUUUGAUAGAAUCCCUAUCGGGAAAUUUUUAGCUGUGGACUUUCUUUAGAUGACUCUUGUAUCAAAUAUUUUCCUGCUUCUUGGAACAAGGAACAUAGGAUGUCUUGAUGCCAACCAAGUGUCUUUGGAAAGAUUGUAAAAAGAUGUUAAGCAGGAGAAACCUAAAGUUGGAGGAUAAUACAUUUGUUUUCGCUACUAGUUUUGUAAAACAAAUGGUAAAUUGGUGAAAUGAAACAACACAUGACCUAUUACUUUAGAUCAAUUGUUUUCACAAGUGGAGAUUGAUUCCACAAUCUUCUGCUUCCCAGGCAGACACCCAUCCACAAAGCCAUGGGUGAUGGAUGAUAUUCAAAGCGGGCACAACUGUUUUGUAAAUUGGUAUCACUUUUAAAAACCCAAACAGUCCAACAUAGGUUAAUAACCAUACUAAAUUAGAUGGCUACGAGUAAAAUAAAAGAAAAUGAAGAAAUAGAGAAAUUAUAUAUAUUUUUUUAUCGUGGCGAAACCGGUUGCAAUAACAGCUGACAUUUCCCGUAUAUUUUCAAGACAUCUAGGGGAGAAAUAGCUAACUUAAUUUUUAUGGGUAUGUCAGCUGUCCCGUCAGCUGUUUCAUUUCGCGUGGCUUCGGACAGAGGAUGGCUGGAAAUUUUACCACCGAUUCCGUGUGUUUUGAGUUGCAUCUUGUGAAUUCAAUCAACGCAGAGUUGUUCAAGGAGGAACACGGCUUGGCUUUGCUAGCACGUUUUUCAUCUCCGUUAGUCUGAUAAACCCAUUUUAUUUCAAAGGUGGUACGUAAAAAGAGUAGGUCCUUAUAAUCUUUUUCUCUAUCUAAAUCUUUUAGAUUCUUGUAGGUGUCAUCAGGUGAUGUUAGAAUUUACUGUUUAUAGUUAGUUUUUUAAAUCAUGCUUUCAGGUCUUUAGGAUGUACCUGAUGUACUGUGGUGGCCGCAAAAUCAUUCAAUGACUUGGUUCAAUCCAGGAUUUGGUUUUUUCUAUGGUGGUUUACAGUUUUAAUUUGCAGAGAUCCUGGAGGCACCUGAUUUGUUUAAUUGGCGUUGGAGUCACUUGAUGACAGAAGAGAAUGCCCCUAAUGUUAUCUUGUCAGUGUAAAUAAAACAUAUCCAGUAUCA
rnacentral:lncRNA from 1 species